rnacentral:rRNA from 1 species
GUAGGUGGCAAGCGUUGUCCGGAAUUAUUGGGCGUAAAGCGCGCGCAGGCGGUUCUUUAAGUCUGAUGUGAAAGCCCACGGCUCAACCGUGGAGGGUCAUUGGAAACUGGAGAACUUGAGUACAGAAGAGGAAAGCGGAAUUCCACGUGUAGCGGUGAAAUGCGUAGAGAUGUGGAGGAACACCAGUGGCGAAGGCGGCUUUCUGGUCUGUAACUGACGCUGAGGCGCGAAAGCGUGGGGAGCAAACAGGAUUAGAUACCCUGGUAGUCCACGCCGUAAACGAUGAGUGCUAAGUGUUAGGGGGUUUCCGCCCCCCUUAGUGCUGCAGCUAACGCAUUAAGCACCCCCCGCCUGGGGAGUACGGCCGCAAGGCUG